rnacentral:rRNA from 1 species
AGUGAACGCUGGCGGCAGGCCUAACACAUGCAAGUCGAGCGGACGCACGGGGAGCUCUCUCUGCUACCGUUGGCGACGGGCGGGUGAGUCACACGUAGAUACCAUACCUCUUUGUCUGGGGUCAUAACGCGGGGCCACAUACCAUAACGGCGCAUAUGUUGAACGGGUGAGUUCAUGGGAGCUCCGGCGCUUGCGUGACCCUAUGAGCGGAGGCCGCAUUAGCUAGUUGGUGGGGUAAAGGCCCACCAAGGCGACGCUGCGUAGCGGGUCUGAGAGGAUGAUCAGCCACACUGGAACUGAGACACGGUCCAGACUCCUACGGGAGGCAGCAGUGGGGAAUAUUGGACAAUGGGCGAAAGCCUGAUCCAGCCAUGCCGCGUGGGUGAAGAAGGUCUUCGGAUUGUAAAGCUCUUUUAUUAGGGAAGAAGAGCAGUAUGUGAAUACCUGGCUGUUUUGACGGUACCAAAAGAAUAAGCACCGGCUAACUUCGUG